rnacentral:misc_RNA from 1 species
GACCCUUGAGAAUUCAUCAUUCAUUGCAUACGCAAGAGCUGUAUGGCAAGCACGUCCAUACGUCUUCACAAAUUUUCCAUGGAUAUCCUCGAGAAACGAGAAAGGAAUUCUUCUGCCGGCGGUGUCGUCGGCCAUGCAGAGGACGGUGAUGCCGUCGGUGCGCUUGACAUGGAAGAUGAAUCGGUCAUGGGAGUAGGAGACGUGGCUGUCGUUGGUGCCGGGGAUCUUCUCCAGGAUCUGCCGGGCGAUCGCGCCGGCGUUCGUCUGCGUCGCCGUGAACUCCGCCAGCACCACCGAUCCCCGCGCCACCAGUGCGUACAGAAUCGCCAUUGAUCGCGAGAUUUCUCUCUCCUCGC